rnacentral:lncRNA from 1 species
CUUCCAGAUCUUUGGGUUCCAUGCAAAAAGAAACAUCAAUGAGUGAUUUAUCGGAAGAAAGUUCUUUGGGUUAAAAUUUUCAAUAAGUUGUGUGUGUGUAAGGCAAGAGGCCACGUUCCACCAUGUUAAAGCCAAAUUACGGUCAGUAGGGAAAUUUACGCAUGCGUCAACAUCUGAGUUCUGUCAUGGAAUGGAGUGGUGCAACAGCAGACCUACAGAGAGAGAGAGAGAGGAGAGGAGAGACGAGAGGAGGGGGAACUCUCCUUCAGAUUGUAUCGGAUCGACAGGGUGUUAAGAUAGCUUGUGAGCAUGCUCAGUGUAACACGAUAUCCGAACGUUGCAGGCCUGUGAAUGAAGCAAAAGUCACACACGUUGCAUCUGAGGCUUUGUUUUUAUAGCCAACUAUAAAUACCCGCGAUGGACCAUCCUUUCUUGUACUCUCUCCUUUGUCUUUAUUGGCUACAUAAAAGAAUUAUCUAUAUACGUUAAAAAUAAAGCAUAACUAUCGGUUCGAUUAUCAAUUUUUAUUGUUUUUUUUUUUUAAAUUCAACACGAAUAAAAAAUUAUCUGGCGAUAGUUUU